rnacentral:rRNA from 1 species
UACGAAGGGGGCUAGCGUUGCUCGGAAUGACUGGGCGUAAAGGGCGUGUAGGCGGCCAACUAAGUCCGACGUGAAAUCCCCAGGCUUAACCUGGGAACUGCGUCGGAUACUGGAUGGCUUGAAUCCGGGAGAGGGAUGCAGAAUUCCAGGUGUAGCGGUGAAAUGCGCAGAUAUCAGGAAGAACACCUAUGGCGAAGGCAGCUCUCUGGGACGGUACUGACGCUGAGACGCGAAAGCGUGGGGAGCGAACAGG